rnacentral:lncRNA from 1 species
AUGUCUUUGCACACAUUUCUAACGCAAUUUUUGUUCUCUCUUCAGAUUGAAACGCUACAAGAGAAAAUCCAGACCAUAUCUCGGAGAGCCUCUGCUGCUGAGCAUGCUCUGGCCAUGGAGAAGAAUGAGGCAGCGCUACUCCGCCAGAGGAUUUUUCAAUUAACCUCUAAGAAGCUGAAAAUAGGAAAACCUGGGUUCCUGAUCAAGACCAUCCCCAAGCCCCCAAAAACAACCAAGACCAACAAACCCUUCUUGAAGACCUGCAAAGUUCUGAAAGCUUUCAAAGCACUACUCAAGAUAUGAAGGCAAUGCAUACAAUUGUACAUUUGGUACAAUUAUUCUCAGGACACGGGGUGAGGCAGAGUACAAUAAAUAAAUCCAGAUGCCUUAUUCCAUCAAACAACUGCAAGAAGUCUUCUUUAAAAUCAACCAAGCUAAAUUGGACACGUGUUUUAUGUCAUUUAUAUGGUAGGUCUCAUUAGAUAUCAUCCAACUCUUUAAAAAUGCCUUUGUAUGCAGAUUUCUGCUCUGUUGCCAUUAGGUAAGAUACAACUCCAUGGGGCUUACCUGCCAAGACCUCCAUGGAAGCCACAUAUCCCAUCAAUUACCAAAGCCAAAUGGUAGGCUUAUGAUGAAGUCUAUUUUCUAGGUCUCCAGGGCUAUUUUGGCGACGGGAAAACCCCACGCGAAGGUCGAUUUGUCCUCACUUUGCAACCCAGACUCUCUUUAGGGACCUGAGCUGUCCAAGAAACCAAAACAUCUGGACAUUUUCAAAGCCGUAGAUGGUUCACUUGAAUGCUUUGAGCAGAAGCACGAGUAGGACAAGAGUGGACGAAUAGAUGUCCAUUCAGCGAGACACGCAAAUUAGCCUACAAAGAAAGGGAAAUGCAGAACAAAUGCUCUUUCUCGUUAGGGUUGCGGGUGUAAACUUAUCUUGGAGGAUUAUAUACGGGUAAAUUAACGUAUUUAAAUAUUUCACUCAAGUACGAGAAGAACGAGAACAACAUUUCCCCAACACAUUAGAUUUGUGCAGGGUAAAUACUCAUGAUAAUGGCCAAUUUAUUUGAUUAAAACCAGAUGUAUAAGCCUACUUUGGGGAAAUUAAUGACUAAAUAUAUAUCCUAUAGGGAAAUAAGAAGGAGAGCCAACAAUAUAAGUGAAAUUCAACAACGUGCUUUAGUAACGAUGGUGUAACGGCUGUCGUUGGUGGAAGAAGGUGAGGACCCAGGUGCAGCGUGGUAAGUGUUCAUCUUUUUAUUUUGAACUGAACACUGAAUUAUAAAACAACAAAGAGAAUGAACGAAACCGAAACAGUUCUGUCUGGUGCAGACACAAAAAACAGAAAACAACUACCCACAAAACAUAGGUAGCCUGUUUUCCCACUAAGUAUGGUUCUCAAUCAGAGACAAUGAUCGACAGCUGCCUCUGAUUGGGAACCAUACCAGGCCAAACAUAGAAAUACAAAACCUAGAACAAAAACAAAGAAUGCCCACUCCAACUCACACCCCGACCACACUAAAACAGAGACAUAAAAAAGGAACUUAGGUCAGGACGUGACAGACGGAGACUCACUGAGUCUGCUUCGUCACUCAGUAUAAUAAGUGUUUGACUUAAAUCCAUAAAGGCAUCCAUUGGGUUUAACAUAAAAACUGAAGUUAAUUGCCUGUUAAAGAAGGCAGGUUUAAAUACAGAUGCUCUGGUGUCUGGUCCCUAACGUAUUGUUAGGCCUAUACAUUUGAUUCCUAUCUGAUGUGUGUUCAUACCACUCAAGAUUUUAUGUUGAGCACUUGUAGGCUUAUGUUACUGAGUUGGUUGUUGGAAAUACAUGUGUAUGCAGUUAAGAAUAAACAUAUUUAGACCUACCUGUUAUUCAUUUGCAUGGGAGGGUUGUGUAUAGGCGAUGACAAUUUCUUUAAAAAUAAAUAAUUGUAUUUUUUUAAUGAAUUGAGUGUUUCCAAACUAAAACUAACUAACUAAACUAAAUUAAAUUUGGGAUGUGGGAUUAGGCUACUGUCUAAGAUCAACUGUUGAAGAGCUAAACCAAAAUAUCUUAGAUAGGCUACUUUAUAUUCUGUAAGCCUAUUCCCUGAUGUUUUAGAAAUUAGGCUAGUGUUAUGAUUCUCUUAUGGUUUUGAAUAUGAGUAAAUGACUAAAUAAUAAAGUUUUUUAGACCCUAAACUUUGCCUUUAUUUGUUAUUUUUGUAAUCAGAACCUUCAGCUGCUGGCUAAAGAAUUGUGAUAAUUAGGCCUAUGAUACAAUAGUUGGUGGGUCAGCUUGUCAAUCAAGAGCCUAACAUUCCUUGACAAUGGGUUUAAUUUUAUCAUCAGUGUCAACACAGUUUGAGAUAAUUUUGACCCGUAGGCCUUCCACCCAUUUCAAUGCGGAAAUGCGCUUUGCUGGAAGAAAAAACCCAUGUCGGACCUCGCAACAGUAACCAAGGGGUGCGGCUUGACAAUGUCUCUAUUAUGAUGUCACAAAGCAUGCAGUUAAAAAAUAGAGUCUUGUGUGUUUUGGUUCAGUCAUCGAUAUGGAUGUGUAUCAAGAAGUAGGUGUACCGGAGUUUGGUGCUCCUUGGCCCGCCAUGACGAUACCCGAACAAGGAGUGAUUGGCCAAUUUACCAUUUUCUGUCAUGUAUUGUCAUGUUGUGUCUUUCUGUCCUUUCCUUUCACCCUGUCUCCCUCUGCUGGUCGUAUUAGGUUACCUUUUCUCCCCCGCUUUCCCCCAGCUGUUCCUUGUCUCCUCUGACUACCUCAUCCACCCCUUUUCCCACCUGUUCCCUUUUUCCCUCUGAUUAGGUCCCUAUAUCUCUCUCUGUUUCUGCUCCUGUCUUUGUCGGAUUCUUGUUUGUUGUGUUUCAUGCCUGAACCAGACUAUCGUCAUGUUUGCUGUAACCUUGUCCUGUCCUGUCGGAAUCUGCCGGUCUAUCUGAGCCUACCUAUGUUUGGUUAUUAAAGAAGCUCUGUUUAAGUUAAUUCGCUUUUGGGUCCUCAUUCACUCACCUUA